rnacentral:rRNA from 1 species
UGGAGGCAGCAGUGGGGAAUUUUGGACAAUGGGGGCAACCCUGAUCCAGCCAUGCCGCGUGCGGGAAGAAGGCCUUCGGGUUGUAAACCGCUUUUAGCCGGGAAGAAAAGGCACGUCAUAACACGGCGUGUUCUUGACGGUACCGGCGGAAUAAGCACCGGCUAACUACGUGCCAGCAGCCGCGGUAAUACGUAGGGUGCGAGCGUUAAUCGGAAUUACUGGGCGUAAAGCGUGCGCAGGCGGUUCGUUGUGUCCGAUGUGAAAGCCCCGGGCUUAACCUGGGAAUGGCAUUGGAAACUGGCGAGCUUGAGUGCGGCAGAGGGGGGUGGAAUUCCGCGUGUAGCAGUGAAAUGCGUAGAGAUGCGGAGGAACACCGAUGGCGAAGGCAGCCCCCUGGGUCGACACUGACGCUCAGGCACGAAAGCGUGGGGAGCAAACAGGAUUAGAUACCCCGGUAGU